GAGGGUGUAGCUCAGUGGUAGAGCACAUGCUUAGCAUGCACAAGGUCCUGGGUUCAAUCCCCAAUGCUCCCU
rnacentral:tRNA from 1 species